GACGAACGCUGGCGGCGUGCCUAAUACAUGCAAGUUGAGCGCUGAAGGUUGGUACUUGUACCAACUGGAUGAGCAGCGAACGGGUGAGUAACGCGUGGGGAAUCUGCCUUUGAGCGGGGGACAACAUUUGGAAACGAAUGCUAAUACCGCAUAAAAACUUUAAACACAAGUUUUAAGUUUGAAAGAUGCAAUUGCAUCACUCAAAGAUGAUCCCGCGUUGUAUUAGCUAGUUGGUGAGGUAAAGGCUCACCAAGGCGAUGAUACAUAGCCGACCUGAGAGGGUGAUCGGCCACAUUGGGACUGAGACACGGCCCAAACUCCUACGGGAGGCAGCAGUAGGGAAUCUUCGGCAAUGGACGAAAGUCUGACCGAGCAACGCCGCGUGAGUGAAGAAGGUUUUCGGAUCGUAAAACUCUGUUGGUAGAGAAGAACGGUGGUGAGAGUGGAAAGCUCAUCAAGUGACGGGAACUACCCAGAAAGGGACGGCUAACUACG
rnacentral:rRNA from 1 species